rnacentral:rRNA from 1 species
GAUGAACGCUAGCGGGAGGCUUAACACAUGCAAGUCGUGGGGCAGCACGGGGUAGCAAUAUCCUGGUGGCGACCGGCGCACGGGUGAGUAACGCGUAUGCAACCUACCCAGUACAGGGGGAUAGCCCGGAGAAAUUCGGAUUAAUACCCCAUAAUGAUAUUAAUAGGCAUCUUUUAAUAUUUAAAGCUACGGCGGUACUGGAUGGGCAUGCGUAAGAUUAGCUAGUUGGUAGGGUAACGGCCUACCAAGGCUCCGAUCUUUAGGGGUCCUGAGAGGGUGAUCCCCCACACUGGUACUGAGACACGGACCAGACUCCUACGGGAGGCAGCAGUGAGGAAUAUUGGUCAAUGGGCGCAAGCCUGAACCAGCCAUCCCGCGUGAAGGAAGAAGGCGCUAUGCGUUGUAAACUUCUUUUCCGGAGGAAUAAAAGUCCCGACGUGUCGGGAUGUGACGGUAUUAUAGGAAUAAGCAUCGGCUAACUCCGUGCCAGCAGCCGCCGUAAAAC